UACGAAGGGUGCAAGCGUUACUCGGAAUUACUGGGCGUAAAGCGUGCGUAGGUGUUUGUUAAGUCUGAUGUGAAGGCCCUGGGCUCAACCUGGGAACGGCAUUGGAAACUGGCUUACUAGAGUGCGGUAGAGGGGUGUGGAAUUCCCGGUGUAGCAGUGAAAUGCGUAGAUAUCGGGAGGAACAUCUGUGGCGAAGGCGACACCCUGGACCAGCACUGACACUGAGGCACGAAAGCGUGGGGAGCAAACAGG
rnacentral:rRNA from 1 species